AGGUCAAGGAGAACAGUUACCAGUAGGUAAUCAUCCUACACUGCCUCUGCAACACGCCUCCCAGCAUGGCUAGAUAUAAGGCCGCUUGCGACCGAAUAGCCACACUCGUCUGCGGACUUCAGCAUCAACCAUGAACAUACUGAGUAUACUGCUGUUGAUCGUGGCGGCGGCGGCGGCUAGUGUAAUGGCCCAGCAGAAACCAACUAUUUUGCUGGAGGACCCAUCUAACCUGCAGAAUCGUAUGUGGGUGCAGCCUCCACGUUUCCACUACCGCGGUUUCAACCGCCCCCAAAUGGCUGCGGGUUGGCCGUGACUGUCUACACGCUUCUGCAGAAAUCUGGUCACGACGAACUGCUGGGCCCUUGAUAAGCCUUCACUCGAUAAAUGACAGUAUAAGUAACAUGGUAGAAGAAGAUACAUGAUAGAUACACUUCCAAAUUACUCGGUGAAACUCAAACCAGUAUACCACUGUUUCCACUUCCACUGAAUUCACCUUUUGUAAUAUCAAGAAAUAUAUACCAUAUCCA